UCAUCAGGUGGGAUAAUCCUUACCUGUUUCUCCUUCUGGAGAACAGAUUAGAAAAUGAUGAUUUGGAGCUCGCAUGAAACGUGAUUAUGCGUCUCUGCGUAGCCAGGACUUGCAACACCCUGGUUCGCUCCUGUCUGAU
ensembl:snoRNA U8 U8 small nucleolar RNA